rnacentral:rRNA from 1 species
UGGCGACCGGCGCACGGGUGAGUAACACGUAUCCAACCUGCCGUCUACUCUUGGCCAGCCUUCUGAAAGGAAGAUUAAUACCCGAUGGUAUAAUCAGACCGCAUGGUUUGAUUAUUAAAGAAUUUCGGUUAUCGAUGGGGAUGCGUUCCAUUAGGCAGUUGGUGAGGUAACGGCUCACCAAACCUUCGAUGGAUAGGGGUUCUGAGAGGAAGGUCCCCCACAUUGGAACUGAGACACGGUCCAA